UGGGGAAUAUUGCACAAUGGGCGAAAGCCUGAUGCAGCGACGCCGCGUGCGGGAUGAAGGCCUUCGGGUUGUAAACCGCUUUUAAUUGGGAGCAAGCGAGAGUGAGUGUACCUUUUGAAUAAGCACCGGCUAACUACGUGCCAGCAGCCGCGGUAAUACGUAGGGUGCAAGCGUUAUCCGGAAUUAUUGGGCGUAAAGAGCUCGUAGGCGGUUUGUCACGCCUGGUGUGAAAGUCCAUCGCUUAACGGUGGAUCUGCGCCGGGUACGGGCAGGCUAGAGUGCAGUAGGGGAGAUUGGAAUUCCCGGUGUAACGGUGGAAUGUGUAGAUAUCGGGAAGAACACCAAUGGCGAAGGCAGAUCUCUGGGCUGUUACUGACGCUGAGGAGCGAAAGCAUGGGGAGCGAACAGGAUUAGAUACCCGUGGUAGUCCAUGCCGUAAAACGGU
rnacentral:rRNA from 1 species